AAGGCCGAUGGCGACCGGCGCACGGGUGAGUAACACGUACCCAACCUGCCGUCUACUCUUGGACGGCCUUCUGAAAGGAAGAUUAAUACAAGAUGGCAUCAUGAGUCCGCAUGUUCACAUGAUUAAAGGUAUUCCGGUAGACGAUGGGGAUGCGUUCCAUUAGAUAGUAGGCGGGGUAACGGCCCACCUAGUCUUCGAUGGAUAGGGGUUCUGAGAGGAAGGUCCCCCACAUUGGAACUGAGACACGGUCCAAACUCCUACGGGAGGCAGCAGUGAGGAAUAUUGGUCAAUGGGCGAGAGCCUGAACCAGCCAAGUAGCGUGAAGGAUGACUGCCCUAUGGGUUGUAAACUUCUUUUAUAAAGGAAUAAAGUCGGGUAUGGAUACCCGUUUGCAUGUACUUUAUGAAUAAGGAUCGGCUAACUCCGGGCCAGCAGCCGCGGUAAUACGGAGGAUCCGAGCGUUAUCCGGAUUUAUUGGGUUUAAAGGGAGCGUAGAUGGAUGUUUAAGUCAGUUGUGAAAGUUUGCGGCUCAACCGUAAAAUUGCAGUUGAUACUGGAUAUCUUGAGUGCAGUUGAGGCAGGCGGAAUUCGUGGUGUAGCGGUGAAAUGCUUAGAUAUCACGAAGAACUCCGAUUGCGAAGGCAGCCUGCUAAGCUGCAACUGACAUUGAGGCUCGAAAGUGUGGGUAUCAAACAGGAUUAGAUACCCUGGUAGUCCACACGGUAAACGAUGAAUACUCGCUGUUUGCGAUAUACAGCAAGCGGCCAAGCGAAAGCGUUAAGUAUUCCACCUGGGGAGUACGCCGGCAACGGUGAAACUCAAAGGAAUUGACGGGGGCCCGCACAAGCGGAGGAACAUGUGGUUUAAUUCGAUGAUACGCGAGGAACCUUACCCGGGCUUAAAUUGCAGAUGAAUUACGGUGAAAGCCGUAAGCCGCAAGGCAUCUGUGAAGGUGCUGCAUGGUUGUCGUCAGCUCGUGCCGUGAGGUGUCGGCUUAAGUGCCAUAACGAGCGCAACCCUUGUUGUCAGUUACUAACAGGUUCCGCUGAGGACUCUGACAAGACUGCCAUCGUAAGAUGUGAGGAAGGUGGGGAUGACGUCAAAUCAGCACGGCCCUUACGUCCGGGGCUACACACGUGUUACAAUGGGGGGUACAGAGGGCCGCUACCACGCGAGUGGAUGCCAAUCCCAAAAACCUCUCUCAGUUCGGACUGGAGUCUGCAACCCGACUCCACGAAGCUGGAUUCGCUAGUAAUCGCGCAUCAGCCACGGCGCGGCGAAUACGUUCCCGGGCCUUGUACACACCGCCCGUCAAGCCAUGGGAGCCGGGGGUACCUGAAGUGCGUAACCGCGAGGAGCGCCCUAGGGUAAAACUGGUGACUGGGGCUAAGUCG
rnacentral:rRNA from 1 species